CCGUGCUGGGUGUAGUCCCGGCUGGAGGGGCCGUGACCUCAGAGGGGCGGGAAGGCGCGUAGUUCGCUUCGCUUGCCCUGACUGAGAGGCCGGCAGGGCGGGAUGGGCUCCCCCUGGCACCAGGCGGCCCGGCGGCUGUACGACUGUCUGCUGCAAGUAUAUAAUGAAGGUAUCCCCAAAGACCCAUUUCCCUUUGAGGCUGAUGUCCAAGUACAUUUGAUUGGCGAGGGUUGCAGAAGUCCCUUAGAAAGUUUUUGGAAUGGAAACAGUAUGAUAUUCAUUAUGGAGAAAGCAGGACAUGUUGAACUAAUUGACCAAAUGGAAGAAUCACAAAUAGAUGAUGCCACUUAUAUUUCAGAGUUUACACCACAGAAGGGUUCUGGACCAGUUGCUCUAUCUGUUACAAGAGGAAAGCAACUGAUUUCACUCUAUACAAUGGCACAAAAUCCAAACAUGACCCAUUUGAAGAUAAGCAAACCAGUUGUGCUUCCUCCCCUGUGGGUAAGAUGUGACCGCUCUGACCCUGAACAUACCUGUUGGCUAGGUGCUGAGCCUCUCAAAAAUGGGAACAAAAUCACAGGGAUCAGUUUCCAUAUAGUUACAUGUAAUGGUCCUACAGCUGAUAAAACCUGUUUUGCAAAUCUAGAAGACCUCAAAAAGACACACAAAAUCAGACAUCGCUCAUCUAUUGUGACAACCAAAGGCUUUGCUCAAUAUGAGCUCAUUCGAGCCACUACAUUGGAGGAUACAGUGGUUGAAUCAGAGAGUAAUAUAUAUGUUGAUAUUACUUGGAAUAUUGUGGAUACGAUUCUGCAGACACCUCCACUCACUGCAGCGGCGACAUUGAACAUUAGAUUGGAAUCUGGGGACCCCAGGAGUCCUGUGUUCCAGUUACAUAGAGAAUUGCAGUUUCUCCUUGUUUUGGCUGAAGGCUUGAAGACUGGCGUGACUGAAUGGCCUGAGCCUUUGGUAGCUGAAUCAGCGGUUGAGCUCGUCAAGGAACUUCUGAAUGAUUUAAAGAAUAAACUGGAUGGAUUUAAUACAUCAGUACAUAAAAAUGAUGCAGAGAAAGUCCAAUGUGACUCAGCUGCAGUGGACAGUUCAAUAAAAUCACUUUUUAGUGAGCGAGGAGACCUGGAUUUUCCUGAACAGUUGUGGUGCAAAAUGAGAAGGAGUGUCGCUUCCUAUCAAGACUUGGUAGAGUGUUUCACACUGAUCAUAAAAUCCCUAGAACAUGGUGAGAUACAGCCUUGGAUUCAUCAAGAGAGUAGCAGUUUACUAAGCAAAUUGAUUCAACAAUCCUAUCAUGGAGCUAUGGAGGCUAUUUCCCUCAGUGGUGUCACUCCAAUUCAAAUGCUUCUGGAGAUUGGUCUGGACAAAAUGAAGAAAGAUUAUGUCAGUUGUUUCAUAGGCCAAGAACUUGCAACAUUAACCUAUCUGGACUACUUCAUAUCCACAUCAGUAGAGCUACAGGAGCAGGUUCAUCGCCUUCAAAAACUUCAUCAUAUGCUGGAAAUAUUGGUCAGCUGCACAGUCUUUCUUCAUUUCAAACAUGAGAACCUCUUCCCUUUGAUGCAGUCCUGCAUAAAAUAUUACAAAGAAAAUCCUCUGAAUGAGAAGCAUGUGUUUCAGCUACCAAUCAGACCAGCUGUUGUCAAUAAGUUCUAUCAAAAUGAUCAUGCACAAAUAUGGAGGGUGGAAAUAAAUAGUGGACAUGGUCAGAAGGAGGUUAAAACAGUAUGGCAGCUUAGUACUAAUCCUCCUGUUGAACAUAUGACUUCGAACAACCUAGAAGUACUUUGUGAUACAACAGUUAAUGGAAACACUGAAGAAAGUAUGUAUUUUAUUACCAUGGCUAACUGCAGUCAGGUGCAUUUUGCGUAAAAGAUUCCUGUUGUACAGAUAGACGCUUAGAAGGUACAGUAAAUGUAAAAUAUUGUCAGCAUAUCUGCUUCCCCAAGUAUAUCUAAAUAUAUUUUAUGGUUGGAAGAAUGAUACCCUAUAUUUGGUAGUUAUUUGCUGUUGUGUGUUGAAGUUAGAAUCUGCAUAGACCUAUAAUUCAACAGUAUGUGUACAGUUUGUUUAAAUACUUUGUAACAUGCAGUUAUUUUUAAAAAAUAUAUAAAAUGUAAUUGCUUUAAAAACUAAUUUUGAUAGUUUAUAAAUUAUGAAUAUUUUACUUGUUUACAUUGUUUUAAUUUUAUUUUUAUUGUUUAUUGUACAAUGUAGUUGACCAAGAGCAAACAGCGUUAUAAAAUCUUUGCUGGUGUCGCAUGAUGUUACAUCAGUAAGACCUAUUUGGAGAGAUGCUCUUCCAGUGCCAUAUACAUUUUGUAAAAGAACUUCAGUUUUCUCUAGUCCGAUAUUUAUAUUUUGGAGUUGUUCUUCUCAUCUAGCCCAAAUUCAGCCUUCUUUCAAAUGCAAAUAAUUGAUUUUAAUCACUUUUUUUCAUUUGUACUUUUGAGUUAUUUUCAUAAAGAACAUUUAUAUAACUAUUAAAACAUGUUGAUUUGAUUACUUACAGUUAAAUAUAGCCUUUACAUUAGAUUUGGUACUACAUUUUGCUAGGAGGAUGCACAUUUAUCUAAUUAUAUAGCAUAACAUACAUUUGUUCUGUAAUUUGAGGCCAAAGCUUUUCUGCACAACAGAAACUGUAAGUACUGACAUUUGGAAAAAAGUAACUGCCAGCAUUCAUUCCUUUGUCAAAACUGAAAAUGAUAUAGAUGGUACCAUAUUAUUAAUUUUGACCCCAAAAUAUAGUUAAAGAUGUUUUCGCCCUGAUUUUAUAUACCAAAAAAGAAGCCUUUAUAGUUUGAAAAUGGCUCAUUGAAUCAGUGUAUGAGAUUUUUAUUUAUUCAAAUGUAUAUAAAUUAUUUUAAUAGAUGAUAGUCAGUUUAGGCCUUAGCAUAGGUUGUCAUAAAUUCAAAUUUAAAUAAAUUAAUCUGUCUUGAACAAUAAAAACACAUUUAAAUUUAAAUUAAAGUUAAAUUUUAAAAUACAGUUUAAAUGUGUGGGUUUUUUAAGUCUUUGACUUUUAUUCACUCUUCUUGAAUAGAAGCUAAGAAAUCUAUCCAUUUUGUGCACAGUUAAUCUGACAUCCACAAAUUUAGUUUGUGUUUUGGAAUUUUGGUAAAAGUUGAACAUAAAGUCUUGCUUUGAAGGAAUCAUUUCAGGCCAAGCAAUGGCAGGUUGCUAGCCAUACUCUGGAACUAGUUCAGUUCUGUAGAAGCAGGUGCAUUUUGAUUAAGCUGGAGCAGGACUGAAUUUGGUACAGUAUCUUAACUUACAUGUCCAAGUCCUUGGAUCACAUUUUUGUGUGUGUGCAACAUUCUCUAAUAAAGAAAGAGAUGUAUAAUGAGUAGGCCCUACCAAAUUGACAGUGAAAAAUGUGUAAUGGAUCAUGAAAUCUGAUUAUUGUCGUCGUAUUGCCACCCUUACUUCUGCAUCGCUGCUGAGGGCAGCGCUGCCUUCAGAGCUGGGUGGCCAGAGAGCAGUAGCCACCUGCCGAAUGCCCAGCUCUGAAGACAGCAUUGCCACCAGCAGCAGUGCAGAAUUGAGGGUGGCAUGGUAUGAAGGGGGUUGUCAUUUUGGGGGGUAGCAGAGCUGACCUUUAUGGGUGGGUGACGGUGGUGACUGUCCAGGGCGCUGUGGACACACACACACAGCCAGCCAGCCAGCCAGCCUAAAGUCCCUUUAACCCCCGAGCGCUGGGCCAGGAGCAGGGCUGGGAGUUCUCCAGCCGGGGGUACUGUGUGCUGGGCUACAGCUGCUAGUCCCGGCUAGGCUGGGGAAGGAGGGGACUUCCUCUUCCCCUGCGUGGGCUGCUCCCAAGGCAGGGUCAGCCCUCCCUUCAGGAACCUUCCCCCGGCUCCAGGAAGCUACGCGGCUGCUGGCUGGGAGCCCAGCUCUGAAGGCAGCACCACCACCAGCAGCAGUGCACAAGUAUGGGUGACAAUACCAUACCAUGUCAUCCUCACUUCUGCGCUGCUGUUGACAGUGGCGCUGCCUUCAGAGCUGGGCUCCCAACUGUCCAGCUCUGAAGGCAGCAGUUCAGAAGAAAUGGUGGCAAUAGUGUGAACCCCUACAAUAGCCUUGUGACAUCCCACCCCCCAAAAAGCCCUUUCUAGGUUGGGACCCCCACGGUUACAGCACUGUGAAACUUUGAUUUAAAUAUUGGAAACUGUGAAAUUUACUAUUUUUAUAAUCCUAUGACCAUGAAAUUGACCAAAAUGGACCGUGAAUUUGGUAGGGUCCUAAUGCUGAGGUAGGUCUAGUGGCCUAAGCAUAGGACUGGACAUCAGGAUUCCCUACUUCUGGUUCUGGCUCUGACCAUAAGUCUGUGAACAAGUCAGUUAGUCUAUCACAUUUAUUCCACCGGUGUGCAAAAUUUGGGUUAAUAAUACCUAAUUAUUAUUGUAUGGAGAUGACUAGUUAAUGUUUAUGCAAUGCCAUUAAGAUUUUGAAGUAUGAUAUGCUGUAAGUAUUCUAUGUUCGUAUUUCGUAAUUAGCACAUCAGCACUGUAUUUUUAAUUACCAUGGAACAGGUUGAAAACAGAACUUGCCAACAAUCUGCCUAUCCUUGAAAUAUAUAUUGGCAAGCUUUGAAACAAUUUAAUCUCAGUCACCUGUUGUCCUAAUGAAGAAAAUGCAUACGCCUCUACCCCAAAAUAACGCGACCCGAUAUAACAUGAAUUCAGAUAUAACGCGGUAAAGCAGCGCUUCGGAAGGGCGGUGUGCGCACUCCGUGUUACGUAAAGGAGGCAUCUGUGGAAACCUUUAAAACAGUGUUAGAAUAAGAGUGGCAUUUUAUUGCCUAUGCAAAAUGAAGAUGUUAUGUAAACUUGUAGUUUUAGUUGUGCUUCCGAAGAAGGAACAUUAAUAGAAUGGCACUGAUAAGUAUGCAGAGUGUGAACACCGUUGGUACAACAAUUUCAGUCACCAUUUCCAUGUGAGUAGUCAAGGGAUCUGAAAUUUGAGAAGAGAAAAAAUAAUAGAUAAGAUCUGUUCUAAUGGAAUAAUUUUAGUUAUUUGUUCAUUCUAUUUUUUAAGCUUUGAAUCUUUUUGAACAUAAUUUGUUUAAAGCUAAAAUUAAUUUUUUUACAUAUUGGCAUCUGCAUUAAACUGGCGUCACUAAAAACAACAGAGAGAAAGAAAUUGUAAAAGAUAGAAUAAACAUGUUUUAUAUAUUUUGAAAAUCCGCAGCAAGUUUAUGUUAAGCUCUCUUCAUCUAUAUCUUUUGUGGUAAAUUCUGAAACAUGUCAGUGCUCAAAGGGUUACAAAAAAUUGUGCUUACCAUGAAUUAGUCUCAGUAUAUUAGCAGCAGUAUUCCGCUGUUCCUCUAAUUUUCAAGGAAAGGGGGGAAAAAGAAAAUAGUCAAAAAUCUUUGGAAAGCACUCUAACCCUUUGAGGACUGCAUUGUAUCUCUGUGGAAUUAAAAUUAAAUUGCUUCUUUAAACUUUUA